AAUAGGUGUGUAGUAGUACCUCACUGCUGUUUUAAUUUGCAGUCACCUAAUAUGUAGUGCUGAAUAUCUUUUCAAAUGUUUGUUUGCCAUCUGUAUACUUUGAUUAGAUUAAAUUUAAGAACUGUUUAUCAAAAGAUUCCAUUAACAGAGUAGAAAGGCUUACCACAGAGUAAGGGAAAAUAUUUGGAACACAUGAUAAAGGGCUUGUAUUCAGAAUAUAUGAAGAACUGCAAAACGAGAAAAAGACAGGCAAGCUAAUGGAAAAACAGACAAUGUGGACCUGACUAGGCACUUCAAGAGGCUACCCAAAUGACUACCAAACAUAUGAAGAGAUGCCCAAUCUCAUUAGUAAUUGGGGAAAUACAGAUAAAAACCACAAUGAGACAUCACUAAACACCUACCAGCAUGGCUAAAAUGAAAAAAGAUAAUCCAAGUGUUGGCAAAUAUGUGGAGCAAUGGGAACACACAACUGGUAGGAGCGUAAAUUGAUACAACUACUUUGGAAAAUGGUUUAGUAUUAUCUACUAAUGUUGCUACAUAGAUAUACCUAUAAUUCAGUAAUUCUGCUCCUAGGUAUACACCAAAUAGAAAUGCAUGUACGUGAGCAUAAGAAUGUUCAUCAUUAUUCAUGAUAUCGCCAAACCAGAGACAAUCCAGAUGUCCAUCAGCAGAAAAAUAGUGAUCAAAGUCGUGGCCCCUGCAUUGGGAGCGUGGAGUCUUAACCACUGGACCACCAGUGAAGUCCCCUGGCUGACCCUUUUAAAGGAAAGAACACGAUGCUGAACUUGCUACCCUCUGUAUUAAAAAAGAAGUACUGCACUUGAUGAGUCCCUUUGGAUUUGUAAAGCAAAUAUACCAUAGUUGGGUGUGUUGACACAACGGAUUUUGGAGGUGACCUGAAAAACUGCCUACUUCAAGUGGAGUCCAGAGUGACAAAUGUUCCUCUUGUUCAGGCUACAGGGAUUUUCUGAAUCUGGUGGCAGAGAUGAAUAGAUAAGGAGCCCUCUCUCCAGUAUCUCCGACCUUUAAUCAAACAACUUGACACAUUUUGAAGAUCAAAUUCUAGGUAUUGUAUUAGAUGUCCUAUUGAAAUAAUUAUUAAACAAAAAUUUCUCAUAAUUUUGGUUAGUUUCUAACUCCAUCAGAAAUGCAGUUAUCUUGUACUUAUAUACCAUGCAUGCAAGUGAAUUAGGAUUUCCAGUGCUGGCUCAUAUCAAAUCUGAAAAAUGGAAACAUUAAUGUAGAAGCCCAUCUUUUUUUCUUUUUUGGUAAGUGACAUCAAUCCAAAUAUCUCUCCCUACUUUUAAAUUGAUAAACAAUUCCAUUCUUUGCAUUGAGAAACUUAUUUUCAGAUACGUACUUUUGUAAAUUGACUGUUAUUAUUUCUUCUUUUCAUUGUUUUAUUUAAAUUUUUAAUUUCUUGGAUUCAGUAUUUUUAUUUAUUUUGUGGCAUGUAAUGCUUUCCUAUUUACAGUAGAAAAAUUUGUUCUCUUUUUCAACACAUUUAUUGAAAUAAAGGGAGUUGAGAGCUUCAAUAUAAUGCAGCCAGCAUCAUUUGGCAUAAAUCCCCAGUUCAAGCACAGAGUUACAAUGAUCUGCUUUAGGAUCACGUUAUGUUCCUUUUGUUUAAUUUGUGCAUGUUAACAGUGUAGCAUGUAUUUUUCUCUACAUUCAGAUACUCUGCACCAAUGUAAGUAUGCAUAUAAUAAGUAGUAUAUUUACAUACACACAUAUACCUGUAUAUAUACACACAAAUAUACAUAUUUGGGGGAUAAUUAUUAGUCUGAAUCAUAUAUUGCCUUUUUGUAUGUCAAAACUGAUCAAAUAUUAAGAAAUUCACAUGAUUUAAUUUAAUACUUUCUCACUUAAAAAUAUCUCAUGGAAAUCCCACCAAGUGAUGGUAUAGCUCCAAUUGAUUCGUUUAUAAGGCCCUUUUAACGUUCUUGGUGUGGGCCAAUCAUCAUUUAUUCAGCAGUUUCCAUACUGGUGGGCAUUUACUUUCCUAUUUUCUGCCAGUAAAACCAGUUCUGCAAUAACCAUUCUUGUACAGUUGUCCUUUGUAACAACGCUAUUUUUUCCAAGGGAUAGAUUCUCAAAGUAGGAAUGAUUUGUAAACAGAGUAUGUAUUUUUUAUUUUAAGAGAUAUUUCCAGAUUACUUUCCAGAAAGACAGGUGUCCACUUCUAUAAUCAACGCAUGGGAGUAAUCUCUCCCUGCAUUCCCACUUGCAAUAGCUGUUAUAGUUCUUAUUUUUGCCCAGUUUGGGUGUAAAGUGAUGUCUCAUUAUUACUUUUAAUUUGCAUGUUUGGCUAUCUUUUCAUAUGCUUGUUGACUAUUUGGAUUUCUCUUCUGUGAAUUGUCUAAUCAUCAUGUUCUUUGCCCAUUUUCUCACUGGAUUAUUUUUUUCUCCCCCCCACCUCCACUUUUUUUACAGGGAUGAAGUUGACUUGAAAUCAGUAGUUGAGGUAUUGUUGUUAUUGACUGUCAGUGCCCAAGCAUUGGUUAAGUUAUGUGCAUUGUUGGUACUGGAACUGUUGAGUUUAAUUACUAUGCUAAAUGUCGUAAAAGUUACAGAGUGAUUUGGCAUUACAAUGAAAAAAAUUAUGAUGUACAUAAAAAGGCACAGAAACAGAGUAGCAUUAUGUGUAACAAAAAUCCAUGCCUAGAAAUAGUCUGGCUGAAAGAGCUCCUUCAUUAAGUAUAAAAUAAAAUUCUACACUGUAAAAAACGGUAUUAAUUUAAUUGCAACAUUUUUCUUUAUUAGUAGUAUGUAAAUAAUGGUGUAUUUAAAAUAAAUGAUAUUUUAGAGUCAAAUACAUAUUUUUGUCUAUCUGCAUCGCAAAUAUUUUUUUCAGAUGUCAUCUGUAUAUUGACUUUGUUUAAGUGAUCUUUUGCCUACAAGAGUUUUUAAUUUUUAUCUAGUCGAGUAUGUUGAUCAAGUUUUCAGACUUUUUGUUAAAAACGUUUCUCCCGCUAAUAAUUGUAUACGUACUUUUUUCCAACAUUUUUAUUGGGUAUAAUUGAUAUACAAGAAAACUGCAAGUAUUUAAUGACUACAUUUGAUGAGUUUGGACAUGUGCAUGGACCCAUGAAACCAUCACCACAAUUAAGAAAGCAGAAUCUAUAUAGAAUCUGUUUUCACCUCCAAAAGUUCCCUUGAGUCCUUUUCAUGUUUGUAUGUGCGAUGAGAACACAUAACAUGAGAUCUACUCUCAACAAAUUUCUAAGUGUGCGAUACAGUAUCGUUAACUAUAGGCACAAUAUUGUACAGUGGAUCUUUAGAACUUAUCUUGCAGAACUGAAACCUUAUAGCAAUUGAACAACUCCCAUUUUCUUCUCUCCCCAGCCCCUGGUAACUACUGUUCUAUUUGUAUAUGUACUCUUUUGGAUUUUCUUGCAAGAUUUUUGUUCUGUUAUUACAUGUAAGAGUUUAAUACAACUGGAAUAUUUCUGAAUAUGGUUUAAGAUAGGGAUCCGUUUUUAUUUUCUUCCAGAUUGAUAAGGAAUAAAAUUCCAUAGGCUUCACUUAUUAAACAAUUCACCCAUUUCCUUCUGAAUUGAGCUAUACCAUCUUUGUCAUUUAAUAAAUUCUCAUAUACACUAGAAUCUAUUUUUCGAUUCCCUAGUCUGUUCCAUUGGUUUAUUUUUCAUUUCUCACACCAGUAUCAUAAUUAUAUGGCUAUGAUGACCCAAAGACACUUCAGAAUCCUUUCAGUAAUCAUCACCAUCAUCAUCCUACUUUUAACUUAGAAAAAGCAAUUCUGGUGAACUUGUUCCUUGCAAAUAAAAGAGACUUAAUCACAAAACUAUGCAUAGAAUCACCUUUCUUUGAACAUUUUAGUAGUUUACUUUAAAACAAAACUUAACUUUCCAGAAAUUAUAUGAUGUGUAACAUGUACAGUAGAAACCCAACUUGAUUUGUUCCUGUUGGGGACUGAAUGUUUGUGUCCCUGCCCAAUUCAAAUUCAGUUUGAAGCCCCAAUAUGACUGUACUUGGAGAUAAGAUCUUAGGUUAAAUGAGGUCUUAAGUAAAGGAUUUGUGUCUUUAUAAGAAAAAACACCAAAGAGCUCACUCUCUCUUCGUAUAUGCCUACAAGAAGAGGUCAUGUGAGACCUCACAUGAGGUCUCACACACAGCAAGAUGGCAGCUACCUACAAGUCAAGAGAAGAGU